GUUGACCUCCGAUCAGGUAGGAAUA
rnacentral:rRNA from 1 species